rnacentral:rRNA from 1 species
GAUGAACGCUGGCGGCGUGCCUAAUACAUGCAAGUCGAACGCACAGCGAAAGGUGCUUGCACCUUUCAAGUGAGUGGCGAACGGGUGAGUAACACGUGGAUAACCUACCUCAAGGUUGGGGAUAACAUUUGGAAACAGAUGCUAAUACCGAAUAAAACUUCGUAUCGCAUGAUACAAGGUUAAAAGGCGCUACGGCGUCACCUAGAGAUGGAUCCGCGGUGCAUUAGUUAGUUGGUGGGUAAAGGCCUACCAAGACAAUGAUGCAUAGCCGAGUUGAGAGACUGAUCGGCCACAUGGACUGAGACACGGCCCAAACUCCUACGGGAGGCUGCAGUAGGGAAUCUUCCACAAUGGGCGAAAGCCUGAUGGAGCAAACGCCGCGUGUAGUGAUGAAGGCUUUCGGUCGUAAAGACACUGUUGUAUGGAAGAACAGCUAGAGUAGGAA